rnacentral:rRNA from 1 species
GACGAACGCUGGCGGCGUGCUUAACACAUGCAAGUCGAACGGAAAGGCCCUGCUUGCAGGGUGCUCGAGUGGCGAACGGGUGAGUAACACGUGGGUGAUCUGCCCCUUACUUUGGGAUAAGCCUGGGAAACUGGGUCUAAUACUGGAUAGGACCAUGCUGUAGGUGGUGUGGUGGAAAGAUUAGUUUCGGUAAGGGAUGAGCUCGCGGCCUAUCAGCUUGUUGGUGGGGUAAUGGCCUACCAAGGCGUCGACGGGUAGCCGGCCUGAGAGGGUGGACGGCCACAUUGGGACUGAGAUACGGCCCAGACUCCUACGGGAGGCAGCAGUGGGGAAUAUUGCACAAUGGGCGCAAGCCUGAUGCAGCGACGCCGCGUGGGGGAUGACGGCCUUCGGGUUGUAAACUCCUUUCAGCCAUGACGAAGCCCUUGUGGUGACGGUAGUGGUAGAAGAAGCACCGGCCAACUACGUG